GUGACUGAUACCUUGGAGGCAU
rnacentral:miRNA from 1 species